GAUGAACGCUGGCGGCGUGCCUAAUACAUGCAAGUCGAGCGAACAGACGAGGAGCUUGCUCCUCUGACGUUAGCGGCGGACGGGUGAGUAACACGUGGAUAACCUACCUAUAAGACUGGGAUAACUUCGGGAAACCGGAGCUAAUACCGGAUAAUAUAUUGAACCGCAUGGUUCAAUAGUGAAAGACGGUUUUGCUGUUACUUAUAGAUGGAUCCGCGCCGCAUUAGCUAGUUGGUAAGGUAACGGCUUACUAAGGCAACGAUGCGUAGCCGACCUGAGAGGGUGAUCGGCCACACUGGAACUGAGACACGGUCCAGACUCCUACGGGAGGCGGCAGUAGGGGAUCUUCCGCAAUGGGCGAGAGCCUGACGGAGCAACGCCGCGUGAGUGAUGAAGGUCUUCGGAUCGUAAAACUCUGUUAUUAGGGAAGAACAAAUGUGUAAGUGACUAUGCACGUCUUGACGGUACCUAAACAGAAAGCCACGGCUAACUACGUG
rnacentral:rRNA from 1 species